ACAGGAUUAGAUACCCUGGUAGUCCACGCUGUAAACGAUGUCGACUUGGAGGUUGUUCCCUUGAGGAGUGGCUUCCGGAGCUAACGCGUUAAGUCGACCGGCUGGGGAGUACGGCCGCAAGGUUAAAACUCAAAUGAAUUGACGGGGGCCCGCACAAGCGGUGGAGCAUGUGGUUUAAUUCGAUGCAACGCGAAGAACCUUACCUACUCUUGACAUCCAGAGAACUUAGCAGAGAUGCUUUGGUGCCUUCGGGAACUCUGAGACAGGUGCUGCAUGGCUGUCGUCAGCUCGUGUUGUGAAAUGUUGGGUUAAGUCCCGCAACGAGCGCAACCCUUAUCCUUUGUUGCCAGCGGUUCGGCCGGGAACUCAAAGGAGACUGCCAGUGAUAAACUGGAGGAAGGUGGGGAUGACGUCAAGUCAUCAUGGCCCUUACGAGUAGGGCUACACACGUGCUACAAUGGCAUAUACAAAGAGAAGCGACCUCGCGAGAGCAAGCGGACCUCAUAAAGUAUGUCGUAGUCCGGAUCGGAGUCUGCAACUCGACUCCGUGAAGUCGGAAUCGCUAGUAAUCGUGGAUCAGAAUGCCACGGUGAAUACGUUCCCGGGCCUUGUACACACCGCCCGUCACACCAUGGGAGUGGGUUGCAAAAGAAGUAGGUAGCUUAACCUUCGGGAGGGCGCUUACCACUUUGUGAUUCAUGACUGGGGGUGAAGUCGUAACAAGGUAACC
rnacentral:rRNA from 1 species